GUCUGAUGGUGAUUUAAAACACCUGAAAGGUUUGACACAAAAGUGGGCAAGAAAUUAUCCUGUGAUUCACCAACAGCAGAGUUGUAAGUGAGCUGCAGCACCUGGAGGAUUAAAAAAUGCUUUCAGGUUGAAGGAUUGAAACCACCUGAGGUUGGAGCCUUACUGCUCUUCAAUAGGCAAAUGAGAAAAUUUUCAUGAGGAAUUUCCUUUCUGUGACUAUGAAAUGAGUGCAUCUUCCAGCAGCACCUUCUGCAGCAUCAGGUGUCUCUCUCCAGAGGAGGAACAAAGCAGGGAGCCAGUGGACAUGUUCUGGCUUCAGACACUGAGAACAAAUGACAAGGAAGACCAGAGAUAUGAACCAGCUUCCUCAAUAUCAGCAAAUAAAUAGCUUGGUGGUCCUCAGCCUGUGAGGCUGGGAGGAGAUGGAGGUUUGUUGGAGCCUGAGUGGAGGGAAAAGUUGCAACCAUUUCAGACAGUUCCCCACUCGUUCCUUUAUGCUACAGACAGAACCCCAUGAGCCAGCCCAUGGUGGGCUUCUAGCCCUCACAGAAUCAGGCUGUGCCACAGGAAAUCCUUGCCACAGGAAGGUAGAGGUGCUGAAAGUUUCUGUGGGAUCAAGGGAUCAUAAAGCAUGUUCAGAGAAGAUAAAUCCGUGAAUGGCUAUGCAUACAAUACGUCCAAAGGCUUUGCCUUGGGUUCAAGAGGUCCCAAGUGGACUGCAAGCUACUCCUCUGGACCAACUCCAACAGGCUGGUGUUCCCUAUGCUGGGACCCCAGAGCUGGAUGCAGGGUUCCAGGUGGGGUCUCACCACGGCAGAGCAGAGCAGAGCAGAGGGACAGAAUCUCCCCCCUCAGCCUGCUGGCCAUGGAUCCAGCCCAGGACAUGUUUGGUUUUCUGGGCUGUGAGUGCCCAUGGCUGGGUCGUGUCCAGGCUCUCCUCCCCCAGCACCCUCAAAUCCUCAGCAAGCUGCUCCCAAUCUGUUCACUCUCCAGCCUGUGUUGAUACCAGGGGUUGCCCCAGCCCUGGUGCAUAACCUUGCACCUGGUCUUGUUAAACCACAUGGAGCUCCCCUGGUCCUGCCUUUCGGGCUUGUCCAGCUCCCUUCCAGCUUCCUCUGGAUGGCAUCCCAUCCUUCAUCCCUCCCAUGAGUGAGCCAUACCACUCAGCUUGGUGCUGAGGGGGCACUCAAUCCCUUCAUCUGUGUCAUUAGUGAAGGGGUAACACUGGUCCCAGUGCAGACCCCUGAGUGACACACUUGUCAUUGGCGUCCAUCAGGACUCCAAGCUGUUGAUCACUCCCCUGUGCAAGAGACCAUCUCACUACUGCCCUAUCUUCCUAACAGUCCAUCCAGUGAAUCCAUCUCUCCCCAAUUCAGAGAGAAGGAUGUUGUGGGGGACCGGGUCACAGGCUUUAUGGAAAUCAAGAUAAAUGACAUCUGUAUCUCUUCCCUUGGCCACUGAUGUGGUGGUUACCUCAUUGGAGGGGUCCAGGAGAUUGGUCAGGCAGAAUUUGCCCUUGCUGAGGCCAUGCUGGCUGUCCUGAACCACCUCCCUGUCCUCCAUGUGCCUUAGCAGAGCUUCUAGGAGGAUCUG